GGAGAGGCACGUGACUGUAUCAGCCAAUGGCCGAGCCUCCUGCGAAAGUUUGCUGGCUCCUGCGGUGAUGGAUCACCGUUUCAGUGGCAUUUAAAUCCCCGGCGCUCCUCAGUCUAGGUGACGCGCAGUCGCCCCCCCAGGCAGCUCGGGCGGCAGCAGCAGCUGCGGCGGCUGCAGGGGCAGAUUCGGAGCGCUGGGGCGACGGGCAGCGGAGGCUGCCUUCUGCGCGCGCUGACUCCGAUCGCCACCCUUCUCCGGGAGGGGGUGCUGGGAGGCAUCCCCAGUCACCGCCCCCUCCCCACGGUGCACAGAAAGAGGAACUGGCAAGAGGUCUGUUUGCCUGGACCCAUCAACAGCUGGGAGACUAAUCAACCACACUGAAAAUGUUCGGGGAUUUGUGGGGGAGGGGUUUGGAAUGUAGAUGUUUGAAACAAAUAUGUAUAAAUAAAUGAGUUGCUGAUAACUUAGUUAUUGACCUGAUAACUUAGUUAUUGGUAGCUUGUUAAAGAAACUUCAUGUUCCUCCUUCCUGGAGUUGGGGGUUUCUGUAGGCACUGUGUUUCUCCACUUUCAAAAGCUUGGGCUUGGCCCAGCUCUGAAGCUUCCCAAUCAUGUUUCUAUUACCAAUUUAAAUCUAUGGCUUGAACCUCUACAUUGAAAAACCAAAUCCAUUCCCUUAAAAAACAACAACAACAACAACAACAACAGCAAAAAGAAAAAACCCACACUUCUCAGAAGCCCUAACCAUUUUUUGGCUUUCUUUUCCAUUGCUGACUGUUGAAGACUUUGGACAUGCCCCCUUUAAUAAAUAUAUUAAAAUUGAAAAAGAAAA